CUUCAAAAAUGAUAUUGAAGUUUCUAAUAUCAUUUUUUUCUAAACUGAAUAGUUUGCGCGAGAGACACUUCCAAAGUGGUAAAAUGUGUGUCGCCCCCCCCUGUAACUUCUAAAAUAAGAGAAUGAUAAAACUAAAAAAAAUAUAUGAUGUACAUUACCAUGCAAACUUCCACCGAAAAUUGGUUUGAACGAGAUCUAGUAAGUAGUUUUUUUUAAUACAACUGAAACUCAAAAAAAUUUUUUUCAUCGAACCCAUACGUGUGGGGUAUCUAUGGAUAGGUCUUCAAAAAUGAUAUUGAGGUUCCUAAUAUAAUUUUUUUCUAAACUGAAUAGUUUGCGCGAGAGACACUUCCAAAGUG